rnacentral:rRNA from 1 species
GAUCCUGGCUCAGGAUGAACGCUAGCUACAGGCUUAACACAUGCAAGUCGAGGGGAAACGAUAUUGGAAGCUUGCUUCCGAUAGGCGUCGACCGGCGCACGGGUGAGUAACGCGUAUGCAACCUGCCCGAUACCGGGGUAUAGCCCAUGGAAACGUGGAUUAACACCCCAUAGUACUUUUAUCCUGCAUGGGAUGUGAGUUAAAUGUUCAAGGUAUCGGAUGGGCAUGCGUCCUAUUAGUUAG